GGCCUUGACAUACUAAGAACUUUCCAGAGAUGGAUUGGUGCCUUCGGGAACUUAGAUACAGGUGCUGCAUGGCUGUCGUCAGCUCGUGUCGUGAGAUGUUGGGUUAAGUCCGCAACGAGCGCAACCCUUUUCCUAUUUGCCAGCGGGUUAAGCCGGGAACUUUAAGGAUACUGCCAGUGACAAACUGGAGGAAGGCGGGGACGACGUCAAGUCAUCAUGGCCCUUACGGCCAGGGCUACACACGUGCUACAAUGGUCGGUACAAAGGGUUGCUACCUCGCGAGAGGAUGCUAAUCUCAAAAAGCCGAUCGUAGUCCGGAUCGCAGUCUGCAACUCGACUGCGUGAAGUCGGAAUCGCUAGUAAUCGCGGAUCAGAAUGCCGCGGUGAAUACGUUCCCGGGCCUUGUACACACCGCCUGUCACACCAUGGGAGUUUGUUGCACCAGAAGUAGGUAGUCUAACCGCAAGGAGGACGCUUACCACGGUGUGGCCGAUGACUGGGGUGAAGUCGUAACAAGGUAGGCGUAGAUGA
rnacentral:rRNA from 1 species